CCACUGCUUGGCGCGCGUCCUCUGGCCCGCCUCUAUGCUCGCCUCCGCCUGGGCUCCUCCUCCGUCCAGCCUCCGGGGCGGGGUCUGUUGGCUCGCCCUACCCUCGCUGCCUAAGCCUGCCCUCCACCAGACGGGUCCCCUCCCCGCGGCACCACGGCUUCCCUUCAACAGCACGGCGACGGGGGCUUCCCCUCAGCAGCCUCCGCAGCCUCAGUCUCUGCCGCCGGCCAAGCUCCACUGCGUCCGCGGCCCGCCGCUGCCAUGCAGUUUAUGUUGCUUUUUAGUCGUCAGGGAAAGCUGCGACUGCAGAAAUGGUAUGUCCCACUAUCAGACAAAGAGAAGAAGAAGAUCACAAGAGAACUUGUUCAAACCGUUUUAGCAAGGAAACCUAAAAUGUGCAGCUUCCUUGAGUGGAGAGAUCUGAAGAUUGUUUAUAAAAGAUAUGCCAGUCUCUAUUUUUGCUGUGCUAUUGAGGAUCAGGACAAUGAACUGAUUACCCUGGAAAUAAUCCAUCGCUAUGUGGAAUUACUUGACAAGUAUUUUGGCAGUGUGUGUGAACUUGAUAUCAUCUUUAAUUUUGAGAAGGCCUAUUUUAUUUUGGAUGAAUUUCUUUUGGGAGGAGAAGUUCAGGAAACAUCCAAGAAAAAUGUCCUUAAAGCGAUUGAGCAGGCCGAUCUCCUGCAGGAGCCACGCCAUGAAUAUUUUAAUGUCCCUGUGUACUAAAUGACUGCUCGUCGGCUAUGCAGAAUUUCAGAGGAAAUAGAGAACUGAUAUACUUAUGAAAGAAACUGUCCUCAGCUUGGUGACUAAUUCUCCUGUAAAAUCAUAAUGUAGCAGCUUAGAACUAGUACCUUUGAAUGUAUUUUUUCUGUGCACAUUACUAAUCCUGUUUUCAUUCUGUAUAUGAUAUUGACAUAUAGUUUAUUUCUGUCUACUACUGAUUUCUUGACAAAUAUGACUUGUGAAUGUUUUGAUUAACAUUCUGAACUCAUACAAGUUAUUGUUAGUAAAUCAUCUGUGAUUAACCUUGUGAGAGUAUAAGAGAAAGUCCAGGGGCAAUCACAAAUAUUUACCAAAGAAAAUACAGUUAGGAACUCAGGCAAAAUUAGUAGCACCACAAUAAAUAGUAUAGUUUGAUCUUCCUUUGUUGAAGAAAACCAAGCUUUAUUUAGCUCUAAGAUUAUCUUACAGUCUGUAUGAGCUAAUGUGUUCUACUGUAUCACAUUAAAGUGUAUAUUGAAGCAAUAUAAGAAAAAAUCAAUUGUACAAUUCUAUAAGAUCUAAGGUUAAAACAUUCAAUUUUCAAGAAAUUCUGUAGUGCCAAUAUUUAUUGAGCCACAUUUGUGCAGUGUCAAAUAGUCCCUUUAAGAACUAGCAGGAGGGCUGGAGAGAUGCCUCAGAGGUUAAGAACACUGGCUGUUCUUCCAGAGGUCCUGAGUUCAAUUCCCAGUAACCACAUGGCAGUUCACAACCAUCUAUAAUGAGAUCUGGUGCCCUCUUCUGGCCUGCUGGCUCACAUGCAGGAAGAUUGCUAUAUAAAUAAUAAAUAAAAUUUAAAAAACAAAAAAGAAACUAUCAUUAAACCAUACAAGUUUCCUGAAAUGUCUGUUGUUCAGUAACACUUUUGAAACUUUCAAUAUCCAAACCUUUAUGUUUUUAUUAGUUAACAGCUUCUUAAUUAAUAUAUUAAGCCAUCUUUUAAACACUCAGUGCUAUAACCUAUGGUUGUAUAUUUUGGAAUACUAAAAACAUUUAUUAUUAAUUUUAUACGUGCUACAAAAUAUACCAGAUAGCUCAUUGUCUACAGAGUUUAAAGUUUAAACUAAAUUUAAGUAAAUUGUUACUUUACAGUAACUUAAAAGGCAUGGUGGUGCAUGCCUGUCCUCUAGCACUUGGAAAGCUAAGGCAGGAGAAAGAUGAGUUACUACCGUACUACCUAGGGAGUCCCUGUCUCAAAAGAUAAAAAUUGGAUAUGUCAAAAAGACUCCAAACCAGUUUUCCACUGAAGGAGCUGUGAAAAUGUUUUAGUAAAUGUAGUAUUAGGCAGCUAUAAAAAUCAGCUCUCUCCAUUACCAUUGGAAGCAUCCUAAAACAUUGGUCUUUCAUUUCCAUUUUUUCCCGUCCUCCCACCCUACAUGUUGUUCAUUCCAUUUUAAUGUUGCAUAAAUAUGCAUUGUCUCAUGCCUGUUUGUUUUGGAUGUUGUGUGCUGAGCUGUAACACAAUGUCGCACUUUGGGGGAGGGUAUCUGUAUACAGCUGCUUGCUUUAAAUUAGCAGAUUCUGAAAUAGCUUUUCAUGCAUGUCUAAAAUAAAGUAUUGCAUGUACUUUGUCUCAUGUGAAUGACUUUUUUCUUCUCCACCCUUUUUGAUAAAGUACCAUUUCAUAUUUUCAUUUCUCCAGGUAAUGUUUUUCAUUGUGAUUUUUAAAAAAAUAACAUAGAAUUCACCAUUUAACCCAUUUCUGAGCCUACAGUACUGCCCGGUAUAUUCACAUUGUUGUACAACACAUCUCCAGAACUUUUUCGUCUUUCAGCGCUGAAAUUACAUAACUCAUUAGCCAACCAUUUCUCCAUUUCUCUUUGACUGAAGGAAGGCCCUGGUAACACCCAUUCUAUUGUAACGAUUUCCCUAAAUAAUUUUGGGCUACAAUAUCAGUGUGAACUUGUAAAAAUUGUAUUUUUUAUUAUAAACAUUUUGUACAAAAUUCAACUUGUCCAGUCUUAAAGGGAUACAAUUUAUAAAUUAAACUAGAUUCUUCGAAAGGACAUAUUAUUCAAUAAUGCAUAUUCAGAAAGCAACAUGACUCUUUUCAGACCAGAAAAUGUGAGCACCUUGGAGAAAUCUGAUCAGCUCCAGAGAAUAGUUAUGGGCUAUUUUUAUCUAGAUACACUGAGAAUAUAAGUUGUAUAGAAUUUAGUUUAGGGAUCCUUUAACAUAUUAAAGGUUACAUUAAAUUUUAAAAUGACUUAAUAUUAAAUGGAAAUAACUUUUAAAUUCAUAUAUACUUUGUCUCAUGUGAAUGACCUUUUUCUUCUCCAUCCUUUUUGAUAAAAUAACAUUUUAUAUUUUCAUUUUUCCAUUUUGAAAUUGUGAUUUAAAAAAUUCACCAUUUUAACCAUUUCUGAGCCUACAGUAUGAAAUAGUUGAGUGACUCAGGUGUCACUCUCAGUGUAUGUAAUGGUUAAAGAAAGCGAAGCAUUUUAAAGCAGAAAACAUCUAGACAAAAGCAGAGAAUCCCAUACAGAACAUUCCUUAAUACAUCACUCAACACUAACAGUUAUCAACUUCAUAUUCACUUCUGUCCUCAAGCACAAGCCCUAGACAAAUUGUUAUUUCCUCUUUCAUGCUUCAGUAUGUGUUCCUUACUACUAAAAGCCACACCAAACAAAAUAGUAAUUUUGUCUUGUGCCUGGCUCAGUUAUUCCUAAUUGUUGGAGGGGAAUAAAUGCCUUCUUAUAAUUUGUUAAAUUGGAUUCCAAAGAAAUUUUAUACUUCAGAUGGUUCGUAGGCCUUCACGCUCUCAAUUUUUAGCAAGCCCGUUUUUCCCCAUACUCUUUGCCAUUAAAAACCAAAAUCAGACCUUUUGAUGCCAGUUUGCUACAUUGCUAUUUAGGUGAUUAUAUUCUUGUGGCAGUGUUUACCUUUCUCUUUUAUCUUCCAUCUUUCUUAGAUCUUAGAUUGAAGUUAGGUGUACUUCAUAGAUUAUACUACCUUCUGGAAAAAUGCCCUUUUUCACUAAAACUGAUUUUCACCCAUUUUUCAUUACUAAACAAGCAUACUAACAGGCAUUCUAUGAACAUUUUUGGCUAUAGUAUUUAUAAAUACUAAAUCCCUUCAUUUAGAUUUCAGUUGUAUAACCAUCCGCUAACAUUUUUUGAAACACUUUAAAUAAGACAUGGAGCCUUAAACUAAUUCUCAACACAUGAAGGUAAGUGCUACUAUUUUUGUUUUCCAAAUAUGAAAACAACAGAUUUUAAGUCAUUUAAAAUUACACUGUAUGGUACACUUUCUACCAUUCAAUCUAACAUUUUAAGGAUUCUUGAUGUAAUAUAAUUUUUCUUUUUCUUAUUUUGUGCUGUCUCAUGAUAAGGAUGCAAAAGAAGCUGAAACCCCACGUAGUGUUCUUGAAGAAAUUGGACUGACAUAACUGUCCUCCCUUGCUGAUGACUUCUUGUGGCAUUUCACACACUGUAGAUGGUCACUGCCUCUCAUGUCCAUGUUAGCUAAUGGUGUAAGAUGAUGUCUUGUCAGUAUUAGUGUUUUGCUAAGCUGCUUCAUUCAGGCCUACACAAUUUUUUUUUUAAAGGGAACUUUGGUUAAUUAAAUGAUAAAUUAAGGGACAUAAAUAUGAAUUAGAAAGAUGUAGAAAAAGUAACAUACCAUUUCUGGAAUUUUAAAGUUUAAAGGUCAGUCUCAUAAUUAUGUGCAUAUAUAAAAUAUUUCUAUAUACAUGUAUAUCCAACAAUUUGGCAAAGUACAUUUACUACUGUACUUGAAAAAAGAAACUUAAAUUAUAUGAAACCUGGUUCAAUGAAACCAAAGACUAGAGUAGUAUUUCAGUAUAUAUAAGAAUAAAGGGAAUUGACACAUCACAGAUCAAAUGAAUGAAAGUUUAUCGAAAAUAUAAAUUACCAAAUUUAUACCAAAGACCCUUAUUGGACACAGCAUACAUUAAAACAAAGGAAAUAUAGAUACUUUUAGAGGACUAGCUCAGAAUGAUGCCGAUUUACACUAAAAUUCAUUAAGUAUUCUGAAUGAGUGGGACAAAGAUCUCAUUGAGCACAUUAAUUUUUAAGGUCAAGGAACAUUUGACUCCCUAAGGUGACAUUUUAGUGGUCAUAGUCAUGUAGUUAAUUGUUUUCAAUGCCCCAAAAUAAAGUAGGACUGUUAAUUACCAGGUAUUCUUCAUAACAGUAUGUUGCUCUCUUCACAAAGUGUUAUAUAAAGUCAUUAUCUAAGCAUGAAUAUGGCUUUUGGGAAGCUUAUUAGAACCAAAUUUAUUUUGCUUCCCUAUUGCUUCCUUCCAGUUAGAAGUAUUACAGCCUUGACAGCCUCUCCCUUUCCUUUUAUGUCACUACCUAGUUGUCGGAGAAGUCUUAUGAAAACUUAGAAGAUACCUUUCGUAUAGCAAAGUGAGAGUUGACUGAAGCAAAAUGGCAUUGGUUGGCCCUAUAUUUUUUCAAGCUAUAUAAAUGCUCGGCAUCACUUUUAUACAUACUAACAUACCUGAACACAUCUCCCUGAUUUCUACGUUCCCUUGUAUAUGCUAGGCUGGAGUAAGCUUUGCUGUGAUUGUGAACAACUUUCAAGCCACCUGAACACUGUCUUAUCACUUCACCAAUUAAUUGUAAUAAAUGUUCUGCAAACAC